rnacentral:piRNA from 1 species
UAGAGUUUUGCAAAGGAAAGGAAGACC